AACGAACGCUGGCGGCAGGCUUAACACAUGCAAGUCGAACGGGUGUAGCAAUACAUCAGUGGCAGACGGGUGAGUAACACGUGGGAACCUUCCUAGGGGUACGGAACAACUCAGGGAAACUUGAGCUAAUACCGUAUACGUCCGUGAGGAGAAAGAUUUAUCGCCCUUAGACGGGCCCGCGUAGGACUAGCUAGUUGGUGGGGUAACGGCCUACCAAGGCGACGAUCCGUAGCUGGUCUUAGAGGAUGAUCAGCCACACUGGGACUGAGACACGGCCCAGACUCCUACGGGAGGCAGCAGUGGGGAAUCUUGGACAAUGGGCGCAAGCCUGAUCCAGCCAUGCCGCGUGAGUGAAGAAGGUCUUCGGAUUGUAAAGCUCUUUUGCCAGGGACGAUAAUGACGGUACCUGGAGAAUAAGCCCCGGCAAACUUCGUGCCAGCCGCCGCUGUAA
rnacentral:rRNA from 1 species